rnacentral:misc_RNA from 1 species
GUGAGUUGCAGGUGUAAAAAAUAUAAAAAAGCUAGUAGCGUCCAAUUUGGUGACCGAAGUGGAAACUGGAGAGAGCAAAAGACGCAUAAAGGAGUUGUACCUUUGGUGAGUUGCAGGUGUACCGUAAUCAUCACUUCCAUUGAAAGAAACGAGUUUUGAGAGCAGCAAUGGUAUGGUAACCAUGAGGAGCGACAGAGAGGAAGAUCGAAAUGCGACUGUUGAUUCAAGAUUCAAUCAAACUCUCAGAAAUGUUCAAGGGUUAUUAAAGGGACGCAGUUUCCCUGGCAAAGUACUGAUUACGCGGAGGUCAGACCCACUGGAUAACUCAACCAUGAGAUCUCCAGAUAAUCAUGGAAGUCUGCGAGAUAGUGAGACGGGACCAAGCCAACUGGCAGAUGGAUCUUUUGAGGAUGAACUGCAAAGUAGAAGCAAUCUGAAUGUUAGCUCAUCUGCUAGCCAGACGAAAUCAUCAAUUUCAAAUUCAGAACACACAUCCAGCGAAGUACAGAAGUCAUCAAUUGGCUCUAGAGCUACUGAUUCGGCUAGGCUAAUGAAGUUCACAAAAGAAUUGUCUGCGACAACUGUUAUUCUAGAAAAAUUGCGUGAGUUAUCUUGGAAUGGUAUUCCAUCAUAUUUGCGUCCCAACAUAUGGCGGCUUCUUUUGGGAUAUGCACCGCCUAAUUCAGAUAGAAGGGAGGGAGUUCUGAGAAGAAAGCGUCUAGAUUAUCUUGAUUGUGUUGCUCAGUACUAUGACAUUCAAGAUAUUGAGCGAACAGAUGAAGAGAUCAACAUGCUUCGGCAGAUUGCUGUUGAUUGCCCUAGAACGGUGCCUGAUGUUUCUUUUUUCCAACAAGCACAAGUUCAGAAAUCCCUGGAGCGCAUACUUUACAUAUGGGCCAUCCGGCACCCUGCAAGUGGAUAUGUGCAGGGAAUAAAUGAUCUUGCAACACCGUUCUUAGUUGUUUUCUUG